rnacentral:lncRNA from 1 species
GGAUAACCAACUGUUAACCAGAGGCCACACCAAAAACAGAGUCAUUACACCAAAAUACAUAUAAUCAAAUCCGCAAACAGUUUAGAUCAAAACUACACCAAUUCUCCCAUGUGAGAUUGAUAGCCCUUGCCCGAUUUUUCAGCCACAAGAAGCCGAAUAGUCUGAUCUCCUCUUUCAUCCUCGCCACCCCCAAAACUAUCGUUAUGUUUGCAGAUUCCUCAAAUAAUGAUGCGUGCAAGAGUUACAUGGAUGCAGGCAUAGGGAAAUCGGAUGUUCUGAAUCACAAAACAAUGAAGAAGUUGGUAUAAGAAAAACAUACAAUCUUGAAAUUAUAGAAAAUAAAUAGAACGUGUUAAAUGAGACUCGGGAACACAGAUGUGGCGACUAAUCUAAAGGCAUAAAGGCGACAACAAGAGGACGAUGACAGAACCUAAGAUUGCGGCAGCGGUGUUGUUUUGAUAUAGGAACCAUUUAAACAAGAUGAUUGUUGCUGAUAAUUAUUUCACUGGCUAGAAAGACAAACUGAGAAAGUGGAUUGGUCAUCAAAGAUUCGAGCUUAUUCGUCAUGAUGUCACAGAACCAUUGCUGGUUGAGGUCGAUCGGAUAUACCACCUUGUAUGCCCCGCUUCACCGAUUUUCUAUAAAUACAAUGCUGUAAAAGUGUGUAUCCAUCCUCAUCCUCAUUGCAGUUAGCACCUACAACAAUAUGUUAUGUCCCUUUACUUAAUGCCUCCAAAAAUGAUUAUAACGGAACCUUAAGGAAUGUGUAAUUCUUGAAAGACAAUAAAGACGAACGUGAUUGGCACGCUAAAUACGUUUGGUCUUGCAAAGAGAGUUGGCGCAAGGUUCAAAGAUUGUUCCGUAAUUUUGGUACUCUGGAUUAUCUUGUUAAACUUUUUCUUUAUAUGAUUUUGCUUACCUCAACCUCAGAGGUAUUGAUGUGGACAAAAUGCAACAUAUAAAUUACAUCAACUGUGGCAUAAAACUAACCCUUUUUUUAGUACUAAUGUUGGAAAAAGUGUGUGUUUGUCUUCCUUUUGUAUUUUCAGGAUUAAAUGAGCUCAAAUAAACAAAAGAAGCAAAAAGGCAGCUAAAUCUAACACAAAUACAAGAAAAGGAACAAACGUGGCAUGCCCGACCCCCUGACAGCAUCUUCCCAAGCAAAACAAAAGAACAGAAGGCUGAAGACGCCCCGUGCUCACUGAGCACGGGGGCGUGCCCAAGUGUCAGCAGAAAAGACAAAGUUGUAGAAGCUUCCAUCGCCCACCACGGGGUCGUGCUCAGCAGACACGGGGCCGUGGUCAACUAUAAGAUUCGCUAAAUCCAGGAAAAUCUUGAUAGUACAGAUAUGCUUCUGCACACGGGGUCGUGCUCAGCGUACACGGGGGCGUGGUCAACUAAUGGAGACAAACUGCAAUUAAUGAAGAAAGAGAGGAGGAUGGACACGGGGCCGUGCCCGAGCUUCUGUUCAGCCUAUAAAUAGGAGUGCUUGGUUCACUUGUAACUCAUCCCUUGGCACACCACCUCUCUCACACUUCACCCACCACCCACCACCAUCACAACACCAUCAUCCACCGCCAUCAUCCAUUGUCCAUCAUAGAGUGUGUGAGUCGUCUCGGGAUCCAAGAUUGAUCGUAAGAGUUCUUGACAAUCAAAGGCCAUGUUUGCCUAAGUCUCUUACAUCACUUGGUGAAGACAAGUGUUUAGUGUAAUACUUUUUAUUUUUAAUAUUUUUGCACUUUUUAUUUGGUUAUGUAUUAAUGACUUUAAUAACUAGUUUUUUAUGUUGAAGGUGAUUCU